CGUAGGUAACCUGCCUGGUAGCGGGGGGUAACUAUUGGAAACGAUAGCUAAUACCGCAUAACAGUCGACAUUGCAUGAUGUUGAUUUGAAAGGGGCAAUUGCUCCACUACCAGAUGGACCUGCGUUGUAUUAGCUAGUUGGUGAGGUAACGGCUCACCAAGGCGACGAUACAUAGCCGACCUGAGAGGGUGAUCGGCCACACUGGGACUGAGACACGGCCCAG
rnacentral:rRNA from 1 species